GCCGGGGUAGUCCAGCCAGGCAAGACGCGUGCUUCGAGAGCAUGUUCCCGAAAGGGAUCGGGAGUUCGAAUCUCCCUCCCGGCGCCA
rnacentral:tRNA from 1 species